rnacentral:tRNA from 1 species
GGGGUUGUGGCUCAGCGGUAGAGCACUCACCUGGCAUGUGUGAGGCCCUGGGUUCAAUCCUUAGAACCACA